rnacentral:rRNA from 1 species
UACGGAGGGAGCUAGCGUUGUUCGGAAUUACUGGGCGUAAAGCGCACGUAGGCGGCUUUGUAAGUUAGAGGUGAAAGCCCGGGGCUCAACUCCGGAACUGCCUUUGAUACUGGCUGUCUUGAGUUCGGGAGAGGUGAGUGGAAUGCCGAGUGUAGAGGUGAAAUUCGUAGAUAUUCGGAAGAACACCAGUGGCGAAGGCGGCUCACUGGACCGGUAUUGACGCUGAGGUACGAAAGCGUGGGGAGCAAACAGG